ACUCCUCUCUUCAUCCUUUACAGAUUCCUUUAAUCUAUGUUUCUUAAUUUAAGUGUAGUAUUUCUGAAGGUGAUAUUCUCAAAUGGCAAAGAAGAGGAAGCAUAGUGAGUCUUUGCCGACGGUAUCAGUUAAGAAGGACGAUGAUGCUCCGGAGAGACCUAAGCGGACACUCAUGGGCUGGAAAGACAAAAAGUGACAAAAGAGAGUGAAGUUGGUUCUGAUCAUGCUGUUUUUCGAAAUAAAGAAAAGGUUCUCAUCACGUGUUCUCGUCGAAUCAAUUUUAGGUAUUGGCAUUUGAUGUUGAAUAUGGUAUCACUUUUGCCACAUUGUAAGAAGGAUAACAAGGUAGAGUUGAGGUCCAGCAAGGGUGCAACACUGAAUGAGCUGGUUGAGCUCAAAGGUUGUUCUUCCAGCCUAUUUUUCGAGUGCAGAAAACAUAAAGAUCUUUAUCUAUGUAUGGCAAAGUGCCCUAGUGGGCCAUCUGUGAAGUUUUUAGUUAAUGCCAUUUGUUUUCUCUAUUGUUGAUGACCAUAUCUGGUUCUGGAAUUACCAGGUUCAACUGGAGUCGACAACUUCAUGAGUUUUCUUUCAAAGAACAUUUCCAGAGACGAACAUUCUCGGUUGGUCGUUUAUGCUUCUGCAGAAAAUCUUGUUAGAUGUAUUCUAAUGCUAUUUAAAAUAUUUUUUGAUUAAGGGCUAGUAUUUCGUACAUGUGGAUUAUUGAAACUUGUAUUAAGAUGUACAAAUAUUAUAAAUCGUAUUAUAGUGUAUAUAUAUUAAAGUGUUGGCUAUUUUUUUGUA